rnacentral:rRNA from 1 species
UCCCGUAGUAGUGGCGAGCGAACCGGGACCAGGCCAGUGCCUUAUCAAAAACCAACGCGAACCGGAUGGAAAACCGGGCCAUAGCGGGUGAUAGCCCCGUAGCGGUAAAGUUAGAUGAGGACUCGAGUAGGGCGGGACACGUGCAAUCCUGUCUGAACAUGGGGGGACCACCCUCCAAGCCUAAGUACUCCUUACCGACCGAUAGCGAACAAGUACCGUGAGGGAAAGGUGAAAAGAACCCCGACGAGGGGAGUGAAAAAGUACCUGAAAUCGAAUGCUUACAAGCAGUGGGAGCCCUUCGGGGUGACCGCGUACCUUUUGUAUAAUGGGUCAGCGACUUAGUGUGGCGAGCAAGCUUAAGCCGUUAGGCGUAGGCGCAGCGAAAGCGAGUCUGAACAGGGCGUUCAGUUCGUCGCAUUAGACCCGAAACGCGUUGAUCUACCUAUGAGCAGAGUGAAGGUGCGGUAACACGCACUGGAGGCUCGAACCCAUUACUGUUGAAAAAGUAUGGGAUGACUUGUGGUAGGGGUGAAAGGGCCAAGUCAAAAACGCGUGAUAGCUGGUU